UACAGAGGUCUCAAGCGUUGUUCGGAUUCAUUGGGCGUAAAGGGUGCGUAGGCGGCGCGGUAAGUCGGGUGUGAAAUCUCGGAGCUUAACUCCGAAACUGCAUUCGAUACUGCCGUGCUUGAGGACUGGAGAGGAGACUGGAAUUCCUGGUGUAGCGGUGGAAUGCGCAGAUAUCAGGAGGAACACCGGUGGCGAAGGCGGGUCUCUGGGCAGUAACUGACGCUGAGGAGCGAAGGCCAGGGGAGCAAACGGG
rnacentral:rRNA from 1 species